rnacentral:rRNA from 1 species
AACGAACGCUGGCGGCAUGCCUAAUACAUGCAAGUCGAACGCGUCUAGCAAUAGACGAGUGGCGGACGGGUGAGUAACGCGUGGGAACCUGCCCUUGAGUGCGGGAUAACCGAGGGAAACUUCGGCUAAUACCGCAUGCGCCCGGAGCAAUCCGGGGAAAGAUUUAUCGCUCGAGGAGGGGCCCGCGUCGGAUUAGCUAGUUGGUGGGGUAACGGCCUACCAAGGCGAUGAUCCGUAGCUGGUCUGAGAGGAUGAUCAGCCACACUGGGACUGAGACACGGCCCAGACUCCUACGGGAGGCAGCAGUAGGGAAUAUUGGACAAUGGGGGCAACCCUGAUCCAGCAAUGCCGCGUGAGUGAUGAAGGCCUUAGGGUUGUAAAGCUCUUUCGCGCGCGACGAUGAUGACGGUAGCGCGAGAAGAAGCCCCGGCUAACUUCGUGCCAGCCGCCGCCGUAACAC